GAUGAACGCUGGCGGCGUGCCUAAUACAUGCAAGUCGAGCGAACGGACGAGAAGCUUGCUUCUCUGAUGUUAGCGGCGGACGGGUGAGUAACACGUGGAUAACCUACCUAUAAGACUGGGAUAACUUCGGGAAACCGGAGCUAAUACCGGAUAAUAUUUUGAACCGCAUGGUUCAAAAGUGAAAGACGGUCUUGCUGUCACUUAUAGAUGGAUCCGCGCUGCAUUAGCUAGUUGGUAAGGUAACGGCUUACCAAGGCAACGAUGCAUAGCCGACCUGAGAGGGUGAUCGGCCACACUGGAACUGAGACACGGUCCAGACUCCUACGGGAGGCAGCAGUAGGGAAUCUUCCGCAAUGGGCGAAAGCCUGACGGAGCAACGCCGCGUGAGUGAUGAAGGUCUUCGGAUCGUAAAACUCUGUUAUUAGGGAAGAACAUAUGUGUAAGUAACUGUGCACAUCUUGACGGUACCUAAUCAGAAAGCCACGGCUAACUACGUGCCAGCAGCCGCGGUAAUACGUAGGUGGCAAGCGUUAUCCGGAAUUAUUUGGCGUAAAGCGCGCGUAGGCGGUUUUUUAGUCUGAUGUGAAAGCCCACGGCUCAACCGUGGAGGGUCAUUGGAAACUGGAAAACUUGAGUGCAGAAGAGGAAAGUGGAAUUCCAUGUGUAGCGGUGAAAUGCGCAGAGAUAUGGAGGAACACCAGUGGCGAAGGCGACUUUCUGGUCUGUAACUGACGCUGAUGUGCGAAAGCGUGGGGAUCAAACAGGAUUAGAUACCCUGGUAGUCCACGCCGUAAACGAUGAGUGCUAAGUGUUAGGGGGUUUCCGCCCCUUAGUGCUGCAGCUAACGCAUUAAGCACUCCGCCUGGGGAGUACGACCGCAAGGUUGAAACUCAAAGGAAUUGACGGGGACCCGCACAAGCGGUGGAGCAUGUGGUUUAAUUCGAAGCAACGCGAAGAACCUUACCAAAUCUUGACAUCCUUUGACAACUCUAGAGAUAGAGCCUUCCCCUUCGGGGGACAAAGUGACAGGUGGUGCAUGGUUGCCGUCAGCUCGUGUCGUGAGAUGUUGGGUUAAGUCCCGCAACGAGCGCAACCCUUAAGCUUAGUUGCCAUCAUUAAGUUGGGCACUCUAAGUUGACUGCCGGUGACAAACCGGAGGAAGGUGGGGAUGACGUCAAAUCAUCAUGCCCCUUAUGAUUUGGGCUACACACGUGCUACAAUGGACAAUACAAAGGGCAGCGAAACCGCGAGGUCAAGCAAAUCCCAUAAAGUUGUUCUCAGUUCGGAUUGUAGUCUGCAACUCGACUACAUGAAGCUGGAGUCGCUAGUAAUCGUAGAUCAGCAUGCUACGGUGAAUACGUUCCCGGGUCU
rnacentral:rRNA from 1 species